UCCGGAAACACGCCCACUCACUCACGCACGCACGGCAGGAGCGGGGGACCCAGGUAAGACGCCAUUGCCGGAAUCCGGCACGGCUCGGGGUGAAGUCGCAUGCACAGCUCGCGACCGGACAGCUCCCGUCCGAACCCGACAGCUCACCUCGCAGGCGCCGGAGAGGAAUG
rnacentral:sRNA from 1 species